UGGCAACCCUGCUGCGGAGGCUGUGAGAGACUCUUGGCCUGGUCUACGGGAAAUCAAACUUUGGGCACAAGUCAUGAAGCCGGCACGUUGGGGAGACACCGUGUCACAAUUACAAGGUGAGAUCAGCCUCCCCGUCCAAGCCGGUCUCCUCGCGGGCAG
rnacentral:sRNA from 1 species